rnacentral:rRNA from 1 species
UACUUGCUAGUUACCAUCAUUAAUUGGGGACGUCUAGCGAGACUGCCAGUGAUAAACUGGAGGAAGGUGGGGGAUGACGUCAAAUCAUCAUGCCCCUUAUGACCUGGGCUACAAACGUGAUACAAUGGCUGGAACAAAGGGAUGCGAAGCAGUGAUGUGGAGCGAAACCCAUAAAAACAGUCUCAGUUCGGAUUGAAGUCUGCAACUCUACUUCAUGAAGUCGGAAUCGCUAGUAAUCGCGGAUCAGAACGCCGCGGUGAAUACGUUCUCGGGGUUU